CGCUUUGCAAAUCCCUAAUCCUAACUCGUCUCUUGCAGCCUCCCUCCUAUCUCAUCUGGGCUUUCCAUGUCUCGUUCACUGAGAGGGCUUCUGCCUCUGGUUACCUCCCUCCUACCUCUUUAUCCCAUUUCUAUUAUUGGCUAUUGCUUUCACUGCUGGUUACUCUUUCAUAUAUAAUAGACAGAGGGUCAUUUUGUUGCUGUAGUGAACAAGGUAAGAUUUUUUGUUGUUUCAUUUGUCUAUCUGUUAUAUUUAAAUACUAUUGUCGUGGAAUGCCCUUUUCAUUUGAAACGUUCGUACUUCAAAUUGGUGCAGGUUUGUUAUGGUUUAAAACUCCAGUUUUCUUGGUCAUGUUUUAGAGAUGGGCUUUUUUUUUUUCCAUGAGUGCUUCUGUCAAUUAUUUGGCCUUACUAGUUCAUUUCAGUAGUUGUUAGCUCCCACUUUUUGAUAUUUUUUUGAUAUUUUAGAUGGUAUUAUUAAGUUUAUGCCUUUUUCCUUGGAAAUGGAAUAUAUAAACAAUACAAGGAUUACAUAGUGAUGCCAGGAUUUUUAAAUUGCCAAGUAUAGAUACAAGCGAUUCACAGCAAGAGUCACGUUUGCUACACCUUUAGCUAAAAUUUAUUAAAAUAAGAGUACUCGGGUGCUGCUUAUGGAUUUGGUUAAUGUGGUGGAUAUUCAUGGAAGCCAUGGGAUUGAAUUAUUUGUUGGAUAUCAUAGUGAUACAUGAGCAACUUCUCAUUCCCCCCGUUUGUUACAAAAUUAAAAAUAUGUAUUUUAGUGCUAUUUAAUUUUUAAAACAAACUCUGUUUGGGUUCUUUCAGAAUUUGAGACUUGCUAUCCCUGAUUAUUGUCCCCUUUCCAUGAGGGCGUUGAUUGAUCAAUGUUGGUCUGUGCAACCGGACAAGAGGCCCAAGUUUUGGCAGAUUGUGAAGGUAUUGUGAAGGCUUUGGCAGAUUGUGAAAGAUCAUGCAUUUGUGCCUAUUGUUGUCAUUAAUAACUCGGGUGAUUGCAUUUGUGCUGCCUCUAUAUAUAUGAUUUUCUUUUCAUACCAUAACCAUCAAUAGUGCCAUUUUCUAUGUUUAUGUCUCAUGUUUGAAUUCCCCCGCUCUCUCUCUCUCUCUUCUGCAACACAAUAAUACCUUUGGCGAUAGCCGUGAUACAAAGAAAGUUGACAUUCCUAGAUAUGUUGUAAGUCUCUUGAUAUGGCAGAUAAUCAUUAGUUUAUAAUCUACUUUUAUGAAUCGUUCAGUUAAUUGAGUGGAAUCGUAGUUUCAUUUAUAAAAUUAUGCCUCUUUAGUGAAUGCUUUAAGCUUAUAUACCAAACAAAGAAAAACCCACUACUCAUUGUAUCCUGCAGUUUUUUGUGUUUAUUAGACUUUAGUUAGUGCCACGAGCAUAUAUAUUAAGUGGUGUUUCUUUUCUUGUUAAUAGAUUGUACUCCACUUUAUUUGGCUGUUAUAUGCAGUAUAUGUUGUCAGAUUUAUAUGAAGGCUAUGCUUGGAUGAAAGGAUGGAAAACGAGGAGGGA
rnacentral:lncRNA from 1 species